GCGGAUGUGGCGGAAUUGGUAGACGCGUAGGUCUCAGAAGCCUAUGGUGGCAACAUCGUGGAGGUUCAAGUCCUCUCAUCCGCA
rnacentral:tRNA from 1 species